rnacentral:rRNA from 1 species
CAGCCGUAAACUAUGCUCGCUAGGUGUCAGGCAUGGCGCGACCGUGUCUGGUGCCGCAGGGAAGCCGUGAAGCGAGCCACCUGGGAAGUACGGCCGCAAGGCUGAAACUUAAAGGAAUUGGCGGGGGAGCACAACAACGGGUGGAGCCUGCGGUUUAAUUGGACUCAACGCCGGACAACUCACCGGGGACGACAGCAAUAUGUAGGCCAAGCUGAAGACCUUGCCUGAAUCGCUGAGAGGAGGUGCAUGGCGUAGACGUCU